GCAUUACGUAGUUUUAUACGACUUUAUACGCGUCGUGAACUUUUUCGUAUAUUUUUGUGCGUUUCCGUAUGUUAUUUUCAAUAUAUUUACGCGUAUGUUUCGCAAUGCAUUUCCAGAAUCCUUGAAUUUUGUAUGCUGUCCUCGGUACGCGUAUUGCUGCAAGAGAAUCGAACGACCACGGUCGAGUUUCCGUUUCACGAACUCGUAACUGACCACCGGUUUCCUUCCCACCCACUGGAGAACAAGCGCGGAAGAAUUAAGGGGACGAAGUGACGUCGAGACACAAUGGGUUCUCGUUGCGGCCAGAGAAGUCCGAGAAAAAGGAAACUUCACGGGAACCAGAAAUGACGGAAUAGCUCGCGGAAACCGUUUGUUUGUGUAUGUAUAUACGCCUUUCAUCAAGGAAAAGGUGAAAUCUCUAAAAAUUUCUAAAGAAUAAUACAGUCCAAGAGUCUCAUAAUUCAUUGAAAGAGAA
rnacentral:misc_RNA from 1 species